rnacentral:rRNA from 1 species
AACCCUGGACAGGGGAUCACUUGGCUCGUCCAUAGAUGAAGAGCAAAGCAAUCCACGUGAACUGCAGGAUUCAGUGAACAUUGACACUUUGAAUGCACAUUGCAACCCAGGGAUCCCAUUAUCUUCAGGCUUGGUCUGGUCAAGAGGUG